rnacentral:lncRNA from 1 species
AAGGCCACUGAGAGAUAAUUUUCUCAGGAAAACAAUCAUUCCCAAGGUCCAAUUCCAUGCACUAGUGUCUGUAUGUUAGGGUGGGACUGUAUCCUACACUUUGACAUCUUACCUUGUUUCUGACCUCCUAGCCUGGAGGAAUAUUUUGGUAUCCUAACAGAGGUCCACCUUGGUAACAUGGGUAACCACUUCGGUUUCACUCCCUUUCUCAUCCUGGUUUACUGUUUGUGACAAUGUAUCCAUACCUCCUUCCUUCUGCCUCCCUUCUUCCCUUUCUUCCUUUUUCCUCUCUGUGACCAUAUCUGGCUUAGGUUGAGUCCUGUUAAACAACCAGCACGUUCAUGGUUCCCUGUGCACCCGCCAUUUUGCCCCUUCUUUUCUGUCAGUUACAGGAUAGCUUGUUACCUUAAAUGCAGGCACAACAGAAAGAAAAGGAAAACCCAUAAAGCAGUUAGGGCUUCUUGGUGGCUCCUCACCCAGGCAGCUGCUUCCACUGCCUUCUGUGGCUCUUGUGGCCUCACUUACCCACCUGUCCCAUACUUCUCAGUCAGAAGACUUCCUGGUAGAAGGAACACAUGGUGUUGACUUUGUUGGCAGGCAAGACCAGUGUCUCCCACCUGAAAACACUCAGUUCCCAUAUGUACUUGUUCUGCUUUUUCUGAGGCAGUUCUGCAAAGUGUUUGAUUAUCUAUCAUAAUGUAUUUGUGAUACCUGCUAUGGGACCACCCUUAGCUCAGGAACGUCUUUGGAGUCUUAAAGGGGCCUUACUUCACUUGUGUGUGCAAGUUCCCUUGUAGACAGUGUCAGAGGUACUCAGGAACAGCCAAGAGGCUCACUGUUACUUUCCUUGAACAAAAAGGAAUUGGAUCUUCCGGGGACCGGUAGCUCCUAGCUGCACACAACGCAUCUCAUGACAUCUGACCUAAGUUUAGCUGCUUUGCCAUGAACGAUCCUGAAGUGAUGGUUCUCUCAGUUCCAGGGGUGGAAAAGCCCAGCUAAGGGUUCUGGGAGAGCUGGGAGGAGGAUGGAGGGUGUUGAGCCAGUUUGUAGGUCUGUGGAUAAUAAGGAUGGACGGGACAGAGGGAGCUGAGAGUAAGGAGGGAGGUGUGGAAGAGAGCACUGGGAGGCACUGGGAGGACAGACUUAGGGCUGCAAUGGAAAUUAAGAUGACACAGAAGGUGCUUAGCAGAGCCUGGCACGUGGAGGAAGCAUUUAAUCAGUGCUUGGUCUCCCACACCACAGAAAGGGAACCAGAGAGAAGUGUUUGUUCUGAUUUAGUGUGGUGGACCCCAUGCCUAGACUAGUGUGGCACAACUUGUGUCCUUGUGUCUCAGUUAGUGUUUGUUGAGAGACUAUAUAAAAGCAUCAAAGCAGAACAUCCAAUAAAUGGAUGACAAUUAAAACAGAAAUUAGGGUACAAGUAGAGGGGCAGAAGAGUCUCUUAGAGCUGGAGCCUGUCAGAGAAUUUCACACGUUAUGCCAGGGUAUGGCGGAUCAGUGGAAUCAUAGGUGGAUAAGCAAGUAAGUGACCAAUGCAAAGGAAUUACACCCUUCUCUUCCUGUGUACAUUAAAGGAUAUACCUGCAUCUCUCAAAUUAACCAGAGGUUGAAGAGAAGAGCCAGCUGUUAAAGCAUGGAACACCAGAGAAAAUAUGAGAAAAGGCAGAGUAGUGGAUUGGGUGACCUUUAAAAAUCAACUUUUGCAUUAUCACAAAUUUGAAGAAACAAAAUUUGAAGUGAGUGCUGAAAACUUGGCUCAUGUAUCAAAAAACAAGAAGUUUUAAAUAUUUUAAUAUUUAAGCAUAUAAAUCAAUAUAAACCUUCUCUAUAUUUAAAAACAAUUAUGUGUAUGGAUGUUUUACGUGGCUGUAUAUCUGUGUGCCACAGGCAUGUCUUGUGCCCAGAGAGGCCAGAGGAGAGUGUUGAAUCCCCUGGAACUGGAGUUGUAGAUGGUGUGAGCCACCAUUGGGUGCUGGAACUCUGCUAAUUCUGGAAGAGCGGCCAGUGCUCUUAGUGACCAAACCUUUCCUCCAACCCUGCCAUUUCUACUGUAAUAGAAAAGUCAGCUCAAGGACAGAUAGAGAUCAUUCAUGGAAGGAUUGCACAGUGGAUUUACACACGGCACAGGAGAACUUGUUGGCCACUGGAGAAAUGCAGAGGAAAGGAGGGAGCAUUCAUUUGCUUAUCAGCUACAGUAGCAGGUCCUGCCUUAAGAAAGAUGCUUCCCUGAAUUGCUGGUGGGAGAAAGGCUAGAAAAUGCUGUUUUGGCAGAGUUUAAAGAGGCUUAACUACUACAUACUUUUUUUUUUCUUUUUCUUUUUUUUAAGAUAGGAAGUGCCACUCUUGCCACUCUAAAUCCAGAUUAAGGAAAUAUCUGAAAUGCCUACAAUAUGUGCACAUAUAUUUAUCAUAAAUCAUGGAAAAGUUAAAAAGAAAAAGAAAAAAGGUGCCCAGCAAUAGGGAAUAAUAAAUUGUAGAACAUAUGCAUAUGCAAUAUUACAUGACUUUUAAAAUAAUUUUAAAGAAUAUUCAAAGGAGCCAUUCUUAACCUUUAUUGAGUCAUGCUUGCCAAUAUCCCAUGGCUUCACACAAGCCACACAAUCAAGUCCAGACCAGCGGAAUCAUGGGAGUCUGCUAGUACAAUCCUUUUCUCUGUAUGCUCAUAGCAUGACUAUAGUUUUUACACAUGAGACAUGGACACACUUGUAUAGAAGAAUAUAGUUGUUGUUCUUUAAUUUAUUGUUAAAGUUUAUUAUAAGCAUUUUAAAAAUAAAAUGUAUUUCUUGAGCUAAAAAGGCAUGGCUCUGGGUUUGGGACAUUUAGUAUGAUAACAAAUAUAUUUAGGAGGUAGUCCAUUUUUUGAUAUUGUUCAUAAGGUAAGGUCUAGGUUGGUUCAAGAGAUAUUUAGCUUUGAUUGAAUGAUGUCUAAGAAGCGGGAAAGGGCUGUGGGAUAACUUUGCUUGGAAAAAUCUCAUUUACUAUGUUGUCUUUGAGGUUCCUCUGAAGCACUGUAGUUGAAGGCACAGAAAACAUUGGAAAUAAUAGAACCAGAGUUGAGAAGAGAAAACUGG